rnacentral:misc_RNA from 1 species
AAAGUCGUAACAAGGUCUCCGUUGGUGAACCAGCGGAGGGAUCAUUACAGAGUUGCAAAACUCCCAAACCAUUGUGAACGUUACCUAUACUGUUGCUUCGGCGGGUGGCCCCAGGUUUUUUCCUGGGUGCCCCUGGGCCCCUUGUGGGUGCCCGCCGGAGGUUACCAAACUCUUGAUAUUUAUGGCCUCUCUGAGUCUUCUGUACUGAAUAAGUCAAAACUUUCAACAACGGAUCUCUUGGUUCUG